rnacentral:rRNA from 1 species
AAACUUGAGAGUUUGAUCCUGGCUCAGAACGAACGCUGGCGGCAGGCUUAACACAUGCAAGUCGAACGAACCUUCGGGUUAGUG